UGAUAUAUUGUUAGUUAUAUACAUGUAUGUAGUGAUUUCUAUAAGUUUACAUUCAAUUUGGCAUAAACAAAUUCUAUUUGUCUUUGGGAAAACUGUAUCAGACAUGAUAGUAACAAGCUAGCCAAGUGGAGAAGUUUAGCUGUAGCAGUCGUCUGGUUUGUUCUGUUGUUUUCAACAUUGAGUUCAAUCUGUGAUAAACCUUUUUUAAGACAUCAGUUAUCUUAUGGAAAGAACCUUCAAAGAUUUGUAUGAAACUUGGCCAGAACCUCCAUCUCAAUUGAGUAAUUGCAUCUGGAACAUUUUUUUCUUUCUAUGAUCUGUAUUUUACUGAGAGAUUAACUUAUUAUCAUUAUUUGCAUGCAUAAUCGUGUUUAUACUUAAGGAUUUAAAUAUUCAUAUAACUGAAC
rnacentral:lncRNA from 1 species